AAUUGGAUUCCAGUGUGGCGGACCUCGAGAGAGAAGCUUACCCUGUUUUGGACAAACUGGGUAGAAAUAGAGGACGCUAACAUCUAUUCUCUUGACAGAUUAGUGGGCAGUUAAAAUCCUUGCAAAUUGUUGCAAGCUUGACAGCAGAAAGAGAUGGUGAAAUUAGAAAAGCUGCUUUGAAUACUCUUGCCACUGGAUAUAAGAUUCUUGGUGAGCAUAUAUGGAGGUAUGUUGGGAAGCUAACAGAUGCUCAGAAAAGCAUGCUGGAUGAUAGGUUUAAAUGGAAGGUUCGAGAGAUGGAAAAAUGGAAGGAAGGGAAGUUUGGCGAAGCCAGAGCUGCUUUGAGACGUUCUGUGAGGGAAAUUGGAUUGGAUGUAGCAGAGCAAAGUGGAGAGGUUACACGAUCUGUCUCUGGCCCAGUACUUCCAAGGUAUUAGAGGCUCAGCUUGACAGGAGCAUCAUCUAGAUCUUGUAAAUAUGUUCUCAACACCCUCAUGCAGACAUUUCAAAACAAGAGACUGACUUAUGCUGUCAAGGAAAGCACUCUUGAUAGUCUAAUUACUGAGCUCCUUCUAUGGCUGUUGGAUGAGAGAGUUCCACAUAUGGAUGAUGGCAGCCAGCUUUUAAAAGCUUUGAAUGUUCUGAUGCUAAAGAUUCUGGAUAAUGCAGAUCGAACUUCAUCCUUUGUUGUUCUCAUCAAUCUCUUACAUCCAUUAGAUCUUUCAAGGUGGCCCUCACCUACAUCAAAUGAGACAUUUGCUGUCAGAAAUUAGAAGUUCUCUGAUCUGGUUGUUAAAUGUUUGAUAAAACUUACAAAGGAAGGCAAUGUUGCCAACCAGAGGGAACAUCUAAUUCUUCUCCUUGCCAAUAUUCACAUUCAGAAAGCUAAUAAGUAGUCUGUCUUGAAGGUAUUCUGAUUGUUAAUUAAGGUUGUAAAGCUUUGGCUUUAACUAAUCCUCUUAUAUAAAUUUGACUUUAUGAUAUUUGGAGUCUAAUGUCAAAACUGGAUAUUUAUGCAGCAUUGUUCCUUUGUAAAUUUCUAUUUAAUUAGCAUUUGAAACAUUAGUGGUGAAAUUUGGGUUUUCAAUAAGGUCUUCUAUUUCUUUGAAA